UCCCCUCGGUCCCCCAGAUCCAUCCUCUCCUCUCCCGCAACCCCAAACCCGGCCCCGCCGCCGAUCUCCACUCCCCCAAACCCAGCCCCAGCCCCGCCGGCAACCUCCUCCCCCACUCCUCCACUGCCCGGUCGACAUCCUCUACUUCAUACCCGUCGGCGACCUCCGCCUUCCACUCCACCCUCUCCUUCUCUCCACACCGAAACCCUAGAUCGACGCCAUGGCCACCUCUCUCUAGCGUCCCCUCUCUCUCUCUCUCCUGUGGCGGCACUCACCACUUCAACAUCAUCGGCGACCACAACCAUGGCCUCCACCUCCCCUUCCCUCCCUGGCUGGAGAUCCACUCAAUUCCUCUCCCUCCCCCGAUUCCUCUCCAAUCCCGCCACUAGCCGACUACCACCCCCACCGGCGACCUCCCUCCCUUCCUCCUGAGAUGUACGGUGUGGCAAGACGGAUCGCCGGAUCCCCGCCGUGCCGGACCGGUGAGAUCCAGCUCCUUGCCGAUCCCAUGGCCUCCGCGCCGGGGCGAGUCCUCCUCCUCGUCGCGCUGUCGCCUCCUCCCUCACGGGGCGCACGGACGCCCUUCGGUCGCUGGGCGUCGGCGACGAGGCGGGGGCUGGGGCCGCCGCGCAGGGGGACGACACUGUGGACCUCAGCCCCACCAGCUUGGACGCCUUCCUCACGGCCUCGCGGGAGCAGUUCGCCGUCGUCGAGUUCUUCGCCCACUGGUUAUUCUAAUCUAGUUGUGUGAAGGGGAACAAGCAGGGCCAAUCUACUGCUGCUGCUGUGCUCCCCUUGAGCUAUUUGGUAAAGGGCAAGUUGGUCCAUAGGUCCUCCUCCCCUGCUAUCUCUCUCUCUCUGCUGCAUAGAUAGGUUCUGUUUUCUUUUGUUCUCAUUCUAGUCUAAGCAUUUGCAGAUUCCAGUAAGUGUCUAUGUAUGUGGAUUAUAAGUCGGAACAUUCUAGUUUCGCCUCAUUCUAAUGUGUAUUUGCCGUGUGUGUGGUUAUAUACCCUUGUUUAUGUUGUGUGUCUAUGCUGUUGUGAUACCUGAUAGCAUUGUCUGGUGUAUCAAUUUGUUGUUAAUGGAAAUGUUAAGAAAGCCUGAAAUUUCUGUCCAUGGAGAAUGCUUCAUAUUCAGUCUGAAAUUUUUGUCCACUAAUUUACUUGAAGCCACUACACAAAUUUUUUGUUUCGGUGCGAGCCUUGUAAUUGUAUCUUUGUGGUUUCUAACAUGAUUGUUGUAGGCUACAAGAUAUAUCUCUGCCGGUUCAUCUUGCUGUAGAAUAUGCCCCUAUUCAUUCAUUUAUGUGUAUUGCUAUUUGCCUCUGGUGACAUGUGAGAAGAACUCAUCUAUAUGUUUAUAUUUUGAGCCGCUGGGUACAACUACAGUUGCAAAAUCAUCCAGCCAAAUUUUGGGAGGAUGGCAUAAAAGAUUACAUAACCCAUGCUUUUGAAAUCGUGGUAUUCUAUUUAUGCUCCAUUCCGAAAUCUAUUGUGCACUGCCAAGUCCAUGAGGCGAAGCGCUCACUGCUCGACUAUUUCUUUACUGAACUGGGAGCAACAAAGGCA